UGUUUGCAGCUGAAGCCUACAUUUCAAGAAAGUUACAGGAAUCUGUUAACAGAAGCAUUGCUGAUUUUUCCACAAUGUCUUAUAACGAGCUUGUAAAGCUUGUGUAACCUGGGUAACCAAUUCAAAAUUUGUGGUCACCAGAACAUGCCCUUGCUACAAAGAGCCUGCUGCACCACUGGAACAUGGUGUAAGAUGAAGGACAAAGAUGCAAGGGUGUGGUAUCUUUCCCUGUCUCUGCACCUGCAUCAUCUUCCUCCAGCUCAGAGCCAGAAAGGGUGGUGGCUUUGAUUUGCCUUCCUGUGAUUGAUCCAUGCAAACGGCUUUGUGUUUCCAACUCAAGACCUACUGAAGAACAUCUCAUCCAGUUCAAUCUUUGAAGAACAGCUUUGAAAAACUUUUUCAUGUUCUCCAGUGUGCUACCCUUGCCAUUGUGGCGGCACAGGGCUGCCAUUCUGUGACUGGACUUACGCUACUUGUUGAACGGUUCAUUUAUCCAGUUUGUAUAACGUUUAUUGCACAUGCAACUUGUUAAGAUACAGUUGUACAUUUAUCCCCUCCGUGUUUACAGUAUCUCCAGGCUUUGUUUUGCACAUGGCACCUUAGUAUGUUUGUUGCUUGAAUGGUUACAAGUCUAGCUCUAUUCUAGUUAUUAUUCUAGUAAAUUUGGUUUUAUACUUAUAA